GCAAUUUCUUUUUGAUUAUUGGAUUGUUGCCUUUCAUUUCUUGAGGCACCUGAACCAAUGAUUUUCUUUGCAGGUUACCUAUGUCGUUAAAGGGAUCACGCA
rnacentral:pre_miRNA from 1 species